rfam:Punica granatum cultivar Dabenzi scaffold369, whole genome shotgun sequence.
GUCUCUUUCGAGACAUCUGAUGAAAUUGGAACUAUAUAGUGAAGAUUAGCAUGGCCCAUAAGGAUACCAUGCACAAAUCAAGAAAUGUCCAAAUUUUUG